rnacentral:lncRNA from 1 species
AAAAAUUUUUAAAAUUAAGUUAUUUUAUCAUAUUAGAGGUUUUGAACUGAAUCGAAUAAAAAAUCUGAAAGCGGCUUUAUUAAAAUUACAAAACCGAUUUUAACUUAAAAGCAAUAAGUCCUGGCCGGUCCUUUUACUUGAAGGAAUAUAAACCAUUCAAAAACUAUUAUAAAUUCAUCACUUCAUCAAUUUAGAAUCCUAGAUUUCUAUCUCCUCCUCUCCCUACUGCCAUACCCUUUAAUCGUUUUCUACCCUUGCUCUCAAUCUGGUUGUCGGCUUAUCGCCCCUCACUAUCUCUCUCACUUUGGCCAUUGCUCGUGCUCCCACCUGUGUGUCGCUGCCGCUCUCACCUGCGUGUUGCUGUGCUACUCUCACUUUGCCUGCAUUGCUACUGCUGCUCUCACUUCGUCGACGUCGUUGUAUUGCUCUCUCUUCGCCUGCAUUGCUGAUGUGCUCGCUUCGCUGGCAUCUUUGUACUGCCCUUGCUUCACCUGUGUAGUGGCCGCUCUCUCCGUUUUCAUCGUUGUUGUUCUUGAUCUCGCUGUCACUUUUACUUUGGAAGGUAUGGAGCUAAACGUAGGUCAUCUCUCAUGCUGCUCGUGGUCUCCCUCCUUCGUUGUCACUAUGGCCAUUUGUUUUGCUUGUUUUUCCUUAAAUCUACAUAUUCUUAUUUUGUGAAAGAAUUUGUAUUUUGUAUUUUUAGAUUUGUUUGUAUUUCUAGAUCUGUUUGUUGGUAAAUUUUAGAUGCAAAUUUUUUCAAUAAUGGAAGAAGUUUCUUGAAUUAAGAACGAUUAUUUUUCAGCACAUGAAAAAUUAAAAUUGUAAGGGUUUAGAGUUUAUAUUUCAAAUUUGUUUUAUUGCUAAUUUAUUAUUGAGAUUUUAUUUUUGAUGUUGGAAGGUAUUCUUUGAAUCAAGGGGAUUUUGAACCCGAUAACCAAAAAUUUUUCUGUUGAAUUCAAUUACAUUAUUACUUUAAAUCAGUUUAGUAGGAUUUUAUAAUUUUAAUAAAAUAGAUUUUUAAUUUUUUCAAUUUGAUUCGAUUUUAAAUACGGAAUACUCAUUUCUAAUUUAAAGUUUUACGUUGAAAAAUAAUUUAAUUUUAAAUUUUUUAAAUUAAGUAAAAUAUGUUGCAUGUGCCUUCAUUAAAAAAUUGAUUGAAAACCCAUUUGAUAAUUAUUUAAACGUUAAUAAUUUUUUUAAAAUAAAUUAAAGUUCUGAUAUGAAAUAAUGAUUUAAGUUCUGUGAGUAAAAAUUACCAAUUUUCUAAAUCUACACAAAUGCUUUUCUGUUUAAGUGGAAACUGGUAAGGCAGGAGUUGAUGGUUCAGGUAGAUGACCAUUUCAGAGGAAAGUUGAAACAAAUAUUUCCACUGCAUUUCAUUUUACAUGACCCAUUUAAAACAAAUACAUAUUAACCAUACAAGCAAAAGCUUGAUUAAAAUAUCAGAACUCUGAUGUAAUAAUUUCAAUGAAGGGAAAUAAUUAAAGGCACUUGCUUGCAGCAAAUACAUAUUAAAUUUCCUUUUGCAGGUGUUUACGAGGAUCAAAUGUCGUGGUCACGCUGGCAUUCAGGAGCCACCGUGGGGAAGCGGGCGCGAUCAGUGCAGUAAUUGUAAAUGGUAUACUUCUGGCGAACCCAGCCGAGGUUCUGGUACUGAGCAGCAUCAAGGUCCUGAAAC